rnacentral:tRNA from 1 species
GCUUUCGUGGUGUAGUGGUCAGCACGCUCGGCGCGCAUUCGAGAGGUUCGUGGUUCGAAUCCCGGCGACUGUA